rnacentral:rRNA from 1 species
GACGAACGCUGGCGGCGUGCUUAACACAUGCAAGUCGUACGGUAAGGCCCUUUCGGGGGUACACGAGUGGCGCACGGGUGAGUAACACGUGAGUAACCUGCCCACAACUUUGGGAUAACGCUAGGAAACUGGUGCUAAUACUGGAUAUGUGCCCCUGCUGCAUGGUGGGGGUUGGAAAGCUCCGGCGGUUGUGGAUGGACUCGCGGCCUAUCAGCUUGUUGGUGGGGUAGUGGCCUACCAAGGCGGCGACGGGUAGCCGGCCUGAGAGGGUGACCGGCCACAUUGGGACUGAGAUACGGCCCAGACUCCUACGGGAGGCAGCAGUGGGGAAUAUUGAACAAUGGGCGCAAGCCUGAUGCAGCAACGCCGCGUGCGGGAUGACGGCCUUCGGGUUGUAAACCGCUUUCAGCAGGGACGAAGCUUUUUGUGACGGUACCUGCAGAAGAAGCACCGGCUAACUACGUG